GAUGAACGCUGGCGGCGUGCCUAAUACAUGCAAGUCGAGCGAACAGAUGAGGAGCUUGCUCCUCUGACGUUAGCGGCGGACGGGUGAGUAACACGUGGAUAACCUACCUAUAAGACUGGGAUAACUUCGGGAAACCGGAGCUAAUACCGGAUAAUAUAUUGAACCGCAUGGUUCAAUAGUGAAAGACGGUUUUGCUGUCACUUAUAGAUGGAUCCGCGCCGCAUUAGCUAGUUGGUAAGGUAACGGCUUACCAAGGCAACGAUGCGUAGCCGACCUGAGAGGGUGAUCGGCCACACUGGAACUGAGACACGGUCCAGACUCCGACGGGAGGCAGCAGUAGGGAAUCUUCCGCAAUGGGCGAAAGCCUGACGGAGCAACGCCGCGUGAGUGAUGAAGGUCUUCGGAUCGUAAAACUCUGUUAUUGGGGAAGAACAAAUGUGUAAGUAACUAUGCACGUCUUGACGGUACCUAAUCAGAAAGCCACGGCUAACUACGUG
rnacentral:rRNA from 1 species